CUACCAUGGCGAUCACGGGUAACGGAGAAUUAGGGCUCGAUUCCGGAGAGGGAGCCUGAGAAACGGCUACCACUUCCAUGGAAGGCAGCAGGCGCGUAAAUUACCCAAUCCUGACUCAGGGAGGUAGUGACAAGAAAUAGCGACGUAUGCAUUUUAUGUUAUACGAUUGCAAUGAGAACAAUUUAAUUCACUUAUCGAGGAACAAUUGGAGAGCAAGUCUGGUGCCAGCAGCCGCGGUAAUUCCAGCUCCAAUAGCGUAUAUUAAAGUUGUUGCAGUUAAAAAGCUCGUAGUUGAACUUCUGUCUCAGCUAAUUAUCCUUACGGUAACUCAGCUGUAGACAUCCCCCUUGAGAUUUAUCCACGUCCUUAGCUGGUCGGGAUAGAAAACAGGGAUUUUACUUUGAAAAAAUUAGAGUGUUUCAAGCAGGCGAUUUGCUGGAAUACAUUAGCAUGGAAUAAUAGAAGAUGACUUCACGAUAUUUUAUUGGUAAUGUCGUAGGUAAUGAUUAACAGGGACAGUUGGGGGCAUUAGUAUUUAAUUGUCAGAGGUGAAAUUCAUUGAUUAAUUAAAGACUAACUUAUGCGAAAGCAUUUGCCAAGGAUGUUUUCAUUAAUCAA
rnacentral:rRNA from 1 species